rnacentral:rRNA from 1 species
GAUGAACGCUAGCGGGAGGCCUAACACAUGCAAGCCGAGCGGUAGAGUCUCUUCGGAGUCUUGAGAGCGGCGCACGGGUGCGGAACACGUGUGCAACCUGCCUUUAUCUGGGGGAUAGCCUUUCGAAAGGAAGAUUAAUACCCCAUAAUAUACUGGAUGGCAUCCUCUGGUAUUGAAAACUCCGGUGGAUAGAGAUGGGCACGCGCAAGAUUAGAUAGUUGGUGAGGUAACGGCUCACCAAGUCAGCGAUCUUUAGGGGGCCUGAGAGGGUGAUCCCCCACACUGGUACUGAGACACGGACCAGACUCCUACGGGAGGCAGCAGUGAGGAAUAGUGGACAAUGGGUGAGAGCCUGAUCCAGCCAUCCCGCGUGAAGGACGACGGCCCUAUGGGUUGUAAACUUCUUUUGUAUAGGGAUAAACCUAGAUACGUGUAUCUAGCUGAAGGUACUAUACGAAUAAGCACCGGCUAACUCCGUG